CAAAUUUAAUUCCCAAUAUCCAGACUGUUCCCAUUCCAGAAAUCUGACAUUCACUGUUCCUUCUUUUGGAGAAGCAAGGAAAAAUAAUGUCCAUCUCUUGCAAAUGAAAGGUUUAAAGAGGAGUCUGGAUAUAAAGGAAAACUCUACUGCUUUCAUUUAGAUGACAUACAAUAAGAGUCUGAGAAUUCGGAGCUCUCAGGUCCUCAGAACAAUCCACUUCACAUCACUUCUGACACCACAAGAGUUAUCGGUUCAUUACAAAGGGUAUUAAAGGAUACAGACAAACAGCCUGGUGAGAGAUACAUAGAAAGAGACAAGUCUCUGGAAGGACAUGCACAAAAGAAUAUUGGACAGUGGUCAUUUUGGGGGAUGGAAGUAGGAAAUUUAAUUUUUACAUUUCUGUAUUACUUUUGUAUUUUAAAAGCCCCAAUUUAAAAUAUUGUGACCAAGUAAAAGCAAAGAAAACAAUGUAUGUAACAUGAACUCUGUGUUUACCACUACAGAAAUAAUUUCUCAAACUAUGGGACCUCUUUUCCUUGGGAAAAUAUGUAAUCAUUAAAACUAUGUGAAGGUUAUGUUUUAAAAUGUAAAACUAUUUUUAAAAACUAUGCACAGAAAAGAAAUUAUGUGAGGAAAAACACCAAUUAAUGAUAGUCAUUUUGGGGAAAUAGGCUACUAAAAUAUUUUAUUUUUCAGUAGUUUUCUCAUUGUCUAGUUAAGAAUAUAUUAUUUUUAUAAUGAGGAAAAUGUUCAUACAAACAAAACAUAGCAUGUUUCAGCAUGCCCUGAUUCUUUUCUUUGAGGAUGUGUGAUGCAAUAAAAAAUAGGUUGGCCUCCUGUGGCUUUUACAGAAACUUUUAGUUUGUGUUCCCUCCCACACCUAAGAAUUUUACCUUACAUUACGAAUAUCUGAUAGUUGGCUUUUUUUAAAGGAGGACAAGUUAACCUUUAAAUUGGUUAGAGUUUUGAUUAAGAAGAUACUUCUGUAUUGUGUUGUUAAAGGAACUUCUUCAGAUAGUGUAUCUAUUUGGAAAACAUUCCUUUUAAUUUAGAUAUCUACCCUGUUAGGUUUAUAAGGGGGAUAUGUGAAUUAAACUAACAAAAGAUAGAUUAACAGGAGAAAAAGUAUUUGAUUUUUUUUUUGUUUAAUGUGCUCAGGAGUUCACAGAAAAGAAGUGAAAAUUGAAGAAGCAGAGUUUAUAUACCCUUUUAACAAAAGAAAGGUGGUUUGGGCUUCAAGGGACAAAAACUGCUAGGAAGAGAAACUAAUAGAAGAUAAGGGUUAUUUUAGCCAGGUUUCAUAUAUGCAAACUCAUCUUUUUGGCUCCCUGUCUAAAAAUAAGGGUCACUCGUCUCUCCCUAGUGUUGGUAGUGGCUGUCGGUGGUGGGGUGAUUCUUAAUGCCUUCAAUUCAAAAUAAACCUUAUUCCAAAGUGGCAUAUUUUGGGAUGGUAUAUUCUUAACCCUUUCAAACAAAAGUGAGUAAAGCCAAAAUACCGACGGGGUAAAAGCUCACCAUUCUAUGCAAAGAAGUCAUUGCUGUGCAUAAUUUUAUGCUCUUUGGGGAAGCACGACAA